rnacentral:rRNA from 1 species
GAGACUGCCAGGGAUAACCUGGAGGAAGGUGGGGAUGACGUCAAAUCAUCAUGCCCCUUAUGCUUAGGGCUACACACGUGCUACAAUGGGUAGUACAGAGGGUUGCCAAGCCGUAAGGUGGAGCUAAUCCCUUAAAGCUACUCUCAGUUCGGAUUGUAGGCUGAAACUCGCCUACAUGAAGCUGGAGUUACUAGUAAUCGCAGAUCAGAAUGCUGCGGUGAAUGCGUUCCCGGGUCUUGUACACACCGCCCGUCACACCACGGGAGUUGGAGACGCCCGAAGCCGAUUAUCUAACCUUUUGGAAGAAGUCGUCGAAGGUGGAAUCAAUAACUGGGGUGAAGUCGUAACAAGGUAGCCGUAUCGGAAGGGGCGGCUGGAUCACCUCCUUUCUAAGGAGA